rnacentral:rRNA from 1 species
CCUACGGGAGGCAGCAGUGAGGAAUAUUGGUCAAUGGACGAGAGUCUGAACCAGCCACGUAGCGUGAAGGAUGACUGCCCUAUGGGUUGUAAACUUCUUUUAUAUGGGAAUAAAACGUUCCACGUGUGGGAUUUUGUAUGUACCAUAUGAAUAAGGAUCGGCUAACUCCGUGCCAGCAGCCGCGGUAAUACGGAGGAUCCGAGCGUUAUCCGGAUUUAUUGGGUUUAAAGGGAGCGUAGGUGGAUUGUAAAGUCAGUUGUGAAAGUUUGGGGCUCAACCGUAAAAUUGCAGUUGAAACUGGCAGUCUUGAGUACAGUAGAGGUGGGCGGAAUUCGUGGUGUAGCGGUGAAAUGCUUAGAUAUCACGAAGAACUCCGAUUGCGAAGGCAGUUCACUGGACUGCAACUGACACUGAGGCUCGAAAGCGUGGGUAUCAAACAGGAUUAGAUACCCGGGUAGUC